AUGAACGCUGGCGGCGUGCCUAAUCCAUGCAAGUCGCGCGAACGGACGAGAAGCUUGCUUCUCUGAUGUUAGCGGCGGACGGGUGAGUAACACGUGGAUAACCUACCUAUAAGACUGGGAUAACUUCGGGAAACCGGAGCUAAUACCGGAUAAUAUUUCGAACCGCAUGGUUCAAAAGUGAAAGACGGUCUUGCUGUCACUUAUAGAUGGAUCCGCGCUGCAUUAGCUAGUUGGUAAGGUAACGGCUUACCAAGGCAACGAUGCAUAGCCGACCUGAGAGGGUGAUCGGCCACACUGGAACUGAGACACGGUCCAGACUCCUACGGGAGGCAGCAGUAGGGAAUCUUCCGCAAUGGGCGAAAGCCUGACGGAGCAACGCCGCGUGAGUGAUGAAGGUCUUCGGAUCGUAAAACUCUGUUAUUAGGGAAGAACAUAUGUGUAAGUAACUGUGCACAUCUUGACGGUACCUAAUCAGAAAGCCACGGCUAACUACGUG
rnacentral:rRNA from 1 species